rnacentral:rRNA from 1 species
GGGCCACUGUGCGCGUGCCUAUCAUGCAAGUCGAACGCUUUGUGGUUAACUGAUUUGAAGAGCUUGCUCAGAUAUGACGAUGGACAUUGCAAAGAGUGGCGAACGGGUGAGUAACACGUGGGAAACCUACCUCUUAGCAGGGGAUAACAUUUGGAAACAGAUGCUAAUACCGUAUAACAAUAGCAACCGCAUGGUUGCUACUUAAAAGAUGGUUCUGCUAUCACUAAGAGAUGGUCCCGCGGUGCAUUAGUUAGUUGGUGAGGUAAUGGCUCACCAAGACGAUGAUGCAUAGCCGAGUUGAGAGACUGAUCGGCCACAAUGGGACUGAGACACGGCCCAUACUCCUACGGGAGGCAGCAGUAGGGAAUCUUCCACAAUGGGCGAAAGCCUGAUGGAGCAACGCCGCGUGUGUGAUGAAGGGUUUCGGCUCGUAAAACACUGUUGUAAGAGAAGAAUGACAUUGAGAGUAACUGUUCAAUGUGUGACGGUAUCUUACCAGAAAGGAACGGCUAAAUACGUGCCAGCAGCCGCGGUAAUACGUAUGUUCCAAGCGUUAUCCGGAUUUAUUGGGCGUAAAGCGAGCGCAGACGGUUAUUUAAGUCUGAAGUGAAAGCCCUCAGCUCAACUGAGGAAUUGCUUUGGAAACUGGAUGACUUGAGUGCAGUAGAGGAAAGUGGAACUCCAUGUGUAGCGGUGAAAUGCGUAGAUAUAUGGAAGAACACCAGUGGCGAAGGCGGCUUUCUGGACUGUAACUGACGUUGAGGCUCGAAAGUGUGGGUAGCAAACAGGAUUAGAUACCCUGGUAGUCCACACCGUAAACGAUGAGUGCUAGGUGUUUGAGGGUUUCCGCCCUUAAGUGCCGCAGCUAACGCAUUAAGCACUCCCCCUGGGGGAGUACGA